CAUCCCGUAAGGGAGGCGAACGUGGGGAACUGAAACAUCUAAGUACCCAUAGGAGGAGAAAAUAAACAAUGAUUCCGUAAGUAGUGGCGAGCGAACACGGAAGAGCCCAAACCCAUGUCGUCUAGGCGACACGGGGGUUGUAGGACCACGACGUGGCAAGAGGAUGGCAAGUGGAACGCCUUGGAAAGGGCGACCGUAGAGGGUGAUAGUCCCGUACACGACUGCCUGCCGAAGCCUAGUGGCAUCCUGAGUAGCGCGGGGCACGAGAAAUCUUGCGUGAAACAGCGGGGCCCAUCCCGUAAGGCUAAAUACUCCCGAGAGACCGAUAGCGAACCAGUACCGUGAGGGAAAGGUGAAAAGAACCCCGAGCAGGGGAGUGAAAUAGACCCUGAACCCGUCUGCCUACAAGCGGUCGGAGCAUAGCAAUAUGUGACGGCGUGCCUUUUGCAUAAUGAACCUACGAGUUACCUUCCCCGGCAAGGUUAAGUACCUAAGGUACGGAGCCGAAGCGAAAGCGAGUCUGAAGAGGGCGGCCAGUCGGGGGGGGUAGACGCGAAACCGAGUGAUCUACCUUGGCCAGGUUGAAGGUUGGGUAACACCAACUGGAGGACCGGAUGGGUAAGCGUUGAAAAGCUUUCCAAUGAGCUGAGGGUAGGGGUGAAAGGCUAAUCAAACUCGGAGAUAGCUCGUACUCCCCGAAAUGCAUUUAGGUGCAGCCUCUUUAUAGUAUAUCGUGAGGUAGAGCGACUGAUUGGAUGCGAGG
rnacentral:rRNA from 1 species